rnacentral:rRNA from 1 species
GCUGGUGUACCAGUUGUUCCGCCAGGAGCAUCGCUGGGUAGCUAUGUGUGGAUGAGAUAAACGCUGAAAGCAUCUAAGUGUGAAACUCGCCUCAAGAUGAGAUUUCCCAUUGCCUUCGGGCAAGUAAGACCCCUGAGAGAUGAUCAGGUAGAUAGGCUAGAAGUGGAAGUGUAGCGAUACAUGGAGCGGACUAGUACUAAUCGGUCGAGGACUUAACCAA